rnacentral:rRNA from 1 species
GGUUAAGCGACUAAGCGUACACGGUGGAUGCCCUGGCAGUCAGAGGCGAUGAAGGACGUGCUAAUCUGCGAUAAGCGUCGGUAAGGUGAUAUGAACCGUUAUAACCGGCGAUUUCCGAAUGGGGAAACCCAGUGUGUUUCGACACACUAUCAUUAACUGAAUCCAUAGGUUAAUGAGGCGAACCGGGGGAACUGAAACAUCUAAGUACCCCGAGGAAAAGAAAUCAACCGAGAUUCCCCCAGUAGCGGCGAGCGAACGGGGAGCAGCCCAGAGCCUGAAUCAGUGUGUGUGUUAGUGGAAGCGUCUGGAAAGGCGCGCGAUACAGGGUGACAGCCCCGUACACAAAAAUGCACAUGCUGUGAGCUCGAUGAGUAGGGCGGGACACGUGGUAUCCUGUCUGAAUAUGGGGGGACCAUCCUCCAAGGCUAAAUACUCCUGACUGACCGAUAGUGAACCAGUACCGUGAGGGAAAGGCGAAAAGAACCCCGGCGAGGGGAGUGAAAAAGAACCUGAAACCGUGUACGUACAAGCAGUGGGAGCACAGAGCAAUCUGUGUGACUGCGUACCUUUUGUAUAAUGGGUCAGCGACUUAUAUUCUGUAGCAAGGUUAACCGAAUAGGGGAGCCGAAGGGAAACCGAGUCUUAACUGGGCGUUAAGUUGCAGGGUAUAGACCCGAAACCCGGUGAUCUAGCCAUGGGCAGGUUGAAGGUUGGGUAACACUAACUGGAGGACCGAACCGACUAAUGUUGAAAAAUUAGCGGAUGACUUGUGGCUGGGGGUGAAAGGCCAAUCAAACCGGGAGAUAGCUGGUUCUCCCCGAAAGCUAUUUAGGUAGCGCCUCGUGAAUUCAUCUCCGGGGGUAGAGCACUGUUUCGGCAAGGGGGUCAUCCCGACUUACCAACCCGAUGCAAACUGCGAAUACCGGAGAAUGUUAUCACGGGAGACACACGGCGGGUGCUAACGUCCGUCGUGAAGAGGGAAACAACCCAGACCGCCAGCUAAGGUCCCAAAGUCAUGGUUAAGUGGGAAACGAUGUGGGAAGGCCCAGACAGCCAGGAUGUUGGCUUAGAAGCAGCCAUCAUUUAAAGAAAGCGUAAUAGCUCACUGGUCGAGUCGGCCUGCGCGGAAGAUGUAACGGGGCUAAACCAUGCACCGAAGCUGCGGCAGCGACGCUGAUGCGUUGUUGGGUAGGGGAGCGUUCUGUAAGCCUGCGAAGGUGUGCUGUGAGGCAUGCUGGAGGUAUCAGAAGUGCGAAUGCUGACAUAAGUAACGAUAAAGCGGGUGAAAAGCCCGCUCGCCGGAAGACCAAGGGUUCCUGUCCAACGUUAAUCGGGGCAGGGUGAGUCGACCCCUAAGGCGAGGCCGAAAGGCGUAGUCGAUGGGAAACAGGUUAAUAUUCCUGUACUUGGUGUUACUGCGAAGGGGGGACGGAGAAGGCUAUGUUGGCCGGGCGACGGUUGUCCCGGUUUAAGCGUGUAGGCUGGUUUUCCAGGCAAAUCCGGAAAAUCAAGGCUGAGGCGUGAUGACGAGGCACUACGGUGCUGAAGCAACAAAUGCCCUGCUUCCAGGAAAAGCCUCUAAGCAUCAGGUAACAUCAAAUCGUACCCCAAACCGACACAGGUGGUCAGGUAGAGAAUACCAAGGCGCUUGAGAGAACUCGGGUGAAGGAACUAGGCAAAAUGGUGCCGUAACUUCGGGAGAAGGCACGCUGAUAUGUAGGUGAAGCGACUUGCUCGUGGAGCUGAAAUCAGUCGAAGAUACCAGCUGGCUGCAACUGUUUAUUAAAAACACAGCACUGUGCAAACACGAAAGUGGACGUAUACGGUGUGACGCCUGCCCGGUGCCGGAAGGUUAAUUGAUGGGGUCAGCGCAAGCGAAGCUCUUGAUCGAAGCCCCGGUAAACGGCGGCCGUAACUAUAACGGUCCUAAGGUAGCGAAAUUCCUUGUCGGGUAAGUUCCGACCUGCACGAAUGGCGUAAUGAUGGCCAGGCUGUCUCCACCCGAGACUCAGUGAAAUUGAACUCGCUGUGAAGAUGCAGUGUACCCGCGGCAAGACGGAAAGACCCCGUGAACCUUUACUAUAGCUUGACACUGAACAUUGAGCCUUGAUGUGUAGGAUAGGUGGGAGGCUUUGAAGUGUGGACGCCAGUCUGCAUGGAGCCGACCUUGAAAUACCACCCUUUAAUGUUUGAUGUUCUAACGUUGACCCGUAAUCCGGGUUGCGGACAGUGUCUGGUGGGUAGUUUGACUGGGGCGGUCUCCUCCUAAAGAGUAACGGAGGAGCACGAAGGUUGGCUAAUCCUGGUCGGACAUCAGGAGGUUAGUGCAAUGGCAUAAGCCAGCUUGACUGCGAGCGUGACGGCGCGAGCAGGUGCGAAAGCAGGUCAUAGUGAUCCGGUGGUUCUGAAUGGAAGGGCCAUCGCUCAACGGAUAAAAGGUACUCCGGGGAUAACAGGCUGAUACCGCCCAAGAGUUCAUAUCGACGGCGGUGUUUGGCACCUCGAUGUCGGCUCAUCACAUCCUGGGGCUGAAGUAGGUCCCAAGGGUAUGGCUGUUCGCCAUUUAAAGUGGUACGCGAGCUGGGUUUAGAACGUCGUGAGACAGUUCGGUCCCUAUCUGCCGUGGGCGCUGGAGAACUGAGGGGGGCUGCUCCUAGUACGAGAGGACCGGAGUGGACGCAUCACUGGUGUUCGGGUUGUCAUGCCAAUGGCACUGCCCGGUAGCUAAAUGCGGAAGAGAUAAGUGCUGAAAGCAUCUAAGCACGAAACUUGCCCCGAGAUGAGUUCUCCCUGACUCCUUGAGAGUCCUGAAGGAACGUUGAAGACGACGACGUUGAUAGGCCGGGUGUGUAAGCGCAGCGAUGCGUUGAGCUAACCGGUACUAAUGAACCGUGAGGCUUAACCUU